CUGAACCUUCAGGGCAGGGUGUAAUUCCCGACCGGCGGUGAUGGAACGGUAGCGAUGUUGAUGGCUAUUGUCUUCCUUAGUCCGCGACCCGGGCGAACGUUGUUCGAACGGUGGAUCUGGUGCAACUCCAGAGCCGACAGUAUAGUCUGGAUGGGAGAAGGGCGUC
rfam:Paenibacillus popilliae ATCC 14706 DNA, contig: contig235.